rnacentral:rRNA from 1 species
UACGGAGGAUGCGAGCGUUAUCCGGAUUUAUUGGGUUUAAAGGGUGCGUAGGCUGUAGAUUAAGUCAGUGGUGAAAUGUACCGGCCUAACCGGUGAGUUGCCAUUGAUACUGGUUUACUGGAAUUCGGAUGCGGUAUGCGGAAUGUGUAGUGUAGCGGUGAAAUGCAUAGAUAUUACACAGAACCCCGAUUGCGAAGGCAGCAUACCAAGGCGAUAUUGACGCUGAUGCACGAAAGUGUGGGGAUCAAACAGG